CUGCUAACGUGUUGCUAGCUAGUGUCUAAGCAAAUGAAGAUGAAAGAGGAAGCCAGAGAGAUCAGGUGUUAGAAAACCUAAAGACUUUUCUGUCUCAGAAGAAGCUGUGACUCCACCAGAUCACCAACCAGCUCUGAGGAUGAACCUUCACAUCGUCUUCAUGGUGGCCCUGUGAUGGACUGGUGACCUGUCCAGGGUGAACCC